UUUCUUUUAUCAUCGUAAUUAUUUUGAAUAUCAAAAUGAAUAAAAUUAAAGAUUCCGAAAUCUCAAUACAGCUAGUAAAGGAAAUUUUUCAGGAGAUGUUUCAGAAACAACAAAAGGACAUUUUGAAAUUGAUAAGUGGAAACUUAAAAAUUACUAAAGAACGAAUCGACGGAUUACAAAAAGGCAUUACUUUGAUUAAAGCCACUUGCGAAUCCUUAAAAAAAAAAACGAAAAGAGAAAAGUCGAGCAAGCAAAGUCAAACAAUCAGUUACUGAAUUACGAAAAAGUUUUAAAGGACAUUGAAGAAAGUCUAUCGUUCCAUCAAGAUAAUCACAAUAAAAAGUUUAAAAAAUUCGACAACUGAAAGAUUGGCAAAGAAGAAAUAACUUAAGAUUUGAAGGAAUUGCUGAAAACGAGUCGAAAAGUUGGGAUGAUUCGGAAAUUAAAAUAAUGAAUGUACUUGAAAAUAAUUUAAAUGUAAAUGGAGUAAAAAUAGAAAGAGCACAUCGGACAGGAAAGCGUAAUACAGAAAAGCCAAGAACUAUCGUGAUCAAGUUACUUGAUUAUAAAGAGAAAGUAAAAAUUCUGAAAAAUGCAAACAAACUUAAAGGUUUGGGAAUAUUUAUAAACGAAGAUUAUUCGGUAGAAACAGCAAUAAUACGAAAAAAAAUUUUCGAAGAAAGAAAAAUACACAGGAACAACGGUAAGUAUUGUACUGUUAUUUACGAUAAAUUAAUUGUAAAGGAUUUUAAGAAAUCAAUUUGAAUAAUCAU